rnacentral:misc_RNA from 1 species
GAUGAAGAACGCAGCGAAAUGCGAUAAGUAAUGUGAACUGCAGAAUUCAGUGAAUCAUCGAAUCUUUGAACGCACAUUGCGCCCGCCAGUAUUCUGGCGGGCAUGCCUGUCCGAGCGUCAUUUCAACCCUCGAACCCCUCCGGGGGGUCGGCGUUGGGGAUCGGCCCUUUACGGGGCCGGCCCCGAAAUACAGUGGCGGUCUCGCCGCAGCCUCUCCUGCGCAGUAGUUUGCACACUCGCAUCGGGAGCGCGGCGCGUCCACAGCCGUUAAACACCCCAAACUUCUGAAAUGUUGACCUCGGAUCAGGUAGGAAUACCCGCUGAACUUAAGCAUAUCAAUAAGCGGAGGA